CCUACGGGAGGCUGCAGUGGGGAAUAUUGCACAAUGGGGGAAAGUCUGCUGCAGCGACGCCGCGUGAGUGAAGAAGUCUUUCGGUACUUAAAGCUCUAUCAGCAGGGGAGAAAAUGACGGUACCUGACUCAGAAGCCACGUCUAACUACAUGCCAGCAGCCGCGGUAAUCCGUAGGGGGCAGGCGUUAUCCGGAGUUACUGGGUGUAAAGGGUGCGUAUGCGGCAGCGCAAGUCCGAAGUGAAAUCCCAUGGCUUAACCAUGGAACUGGUUUGGAAACUGUGCAGCUGGAGUGCAGGAGUGGUAAGCGGAAUGUAUAGUGUAGCGGUGAAAUGCGUAGAGAUUAGGAGGAACACCAGUGGCGAAGGCGGCUUACUGGACUGUAACUGACGUUGAGGCUCGAAAGCGUGGGGAGCAAACAGGAGUAGAUACCCCUGUAGUC
rnacentral:rRNA from 1 species